UGAGUAACACGUAUCCAACCUGCCGAUGACUCGGGGAUAGCCUUUCGAAAGAAAGAUUAAUACCCGAUGGCAUAGUUCUUCCGCAUGGUGGAACUAUUAAAGAAUUUCGGUCAUCGAUGGGGAUGCGUUCCAUUAGGUUGUUGGCGGGGUAACGGCCCACCAAGCCUUCGAUGGAUAGGGGUUCUGAGAGGAAGGUCCCCCACAUUGGAACUGAGACACGGUCCAAACUCCUACGGGAGGCAGCAUG
rnacentral:rRNA from 1 species